AGGGAGUUAGUCCAAAACAAGACCUUUGAUUUCGGCUCAAAAGAUCAUGGUUUAAACCCAUGACUCCCUU
rnacentral:tRNA from 1 species